rnacentral:tRNA from 1 species
GCCUGGGUGGCUCAGUCGGUUAAGCGUCUGACUUCGGCUCAGGUUGUGAUCUCAUGGUCCAUGAGUUCGAACCCCACUUUGGGCU